CUCAGGCCAAACCCGGAUCUCUUCAGACUCUCCAUCUCUCGUCUCGUUUCCUCUUCUUCUCUUCAUCCUCGCUCGAUGCCAUCCCAUCGAUCUAAAGGCCGAAGCCAAUAAUCCUGUCAUUAGGUGAGUGAAUAUGUCUCUCCCAAAUUCAGUUGGGGUCUCUCUCUCUCUUCUUUGCUAUGCGCGGCCCUUCGAGGCUUCCAACGCCAGACGUGUAUGCAUCAAUUGCUUCUCUCUCCAUCCUCUCUCAGGGGUUGAAGUAGUUUUUGCAAUAGAGAAAGCUGCGGUGGAGAUAUGACUUCUGUUCGCUGACGGUGCUCUCGGGCCGUCUAUCAAACUCAACUCGGGGCUGGAUUAUUACAUAGAUGUUGAUUAUCAAGUGGGUGAUGGCUUCUCUUUCAGUGGAGGUGUCUAUUCUCUUUUCCACUACCUCUUUUAUUUGCUAAAUGGCCUUUCCAAGUUUUUCAGUACUAGUAACUGAGGAAGUGGGUAAGUUUUUGACAGGAAAGUAUUCAUAUGGACCAAGCCCUUCUGAUGAAUGGUUCAAGCAGGGGAAGAUAGUGCUUAUAUUUCUCUUGGUUCUGGUGAGAAGGUCCGAUCUUGGACUUGCAAUGGGUGCUGAUUCUCAGGCAGCUGCUGAUGUUUUUAGUUCUUUCUGGUUCUUAAACGGAGCCCUUGCAUUCUUAUAAAAGUUCCAUGAUUUAAAUUGGUAAGUAUUUCUUGUCUAGGCAUAGUAUUCCACUGAAUACAGUCUUCUUUUUUCCAAUGGAUGUCUAUUUUUGACUCAUCUUUUUUACAUCUGGUAUAGGUCUUGCAUCACCAUUGUGACAAGGCCCGCCGGCUAUGUGAGGCAUUCGGUGCAUAGGAUUUUCCCCCCGUGUCACUUUAUGAACGAAAAAAAAGAACCUUUCAUGUCUUGAAUGUUUGGAAUCUGCCUUGUGUAGCUGAUGUCAACUUUUUUAUUUCUGUUAUUUAGUUGCUGCCGUUAAACUUCUGUUGAGUUGCUUGUUGGUUCUUUUGAGGGUGAUUUUUUGCUCUCCUGCAGAUUUCAAAGUACAUGUUGAUUAAUGCUUAGAGUAUUUACAUGGAUUUUAAAGUACAUGUUGAUUAAUGCUUAGAGUAUGUUAUUUCCUGGAGGUUAUUUGCUUCCAAUUUAUUUUUACUGAUUCGUCUGCUUUUUUAUUUCAGAGCAUUGUCAGUCAUGGGGUUGAAAAGCCAGCUAUCCAGUGAUGAUGAACUUCUGGUUAUUCGUCUUUGGAAGGGUCUUCAAUGCUAUUGCUAUAGUGAUUCAAGAUUUUGAUCUAGGAUGCUCUUUGUUAAUCUAGAAUGUUUUACAUUUUAGGACGGUAAUGAUAAAUUGUUGGUUUAAUUAAGUUGUUUUUAUACAAUAUUGUUGUUGGCAUAUUAAUUCACAUUUUGUAAUGUGAUAUUGCAGUUUGUUAUCUCGCUUUUCAUCUCAAUAAAUUGUAUAGAUUUAUAUAGAUUUUGAAAUGGUAUCACA